rfam:Neonectria ditissima strain R09/05 contig_261, whole genome shotgun sequence.
GGGCGAAUGGUUUAGUGGUAUAAUACUCCCUUAGCAAGAUUCUUCUGAAGAUAUCUGGGAGUGGUCCAGGGUUCGAUUCCCUGUUCGUCCA